GUCAGGGAAAGUAAACAGCACUACUGGGGAGCUACACAUCAUAGCAGCACAGCAGACGACACACGACGGUAACUACACCUGUACCGUGGUCACUCAGACAGAUGAUGAUGAUCGUCUACCACUGAUGACAUCUUACCAAUCUGCAUUCAUCGUGAAAGUUUCUGUCAGCAUCCAUACAAACAGUAGCAGGUAUCCGUUAAUGGAGGAAACAAAUGCUACUUUAAAGUGUGCGAGCAAUGAGCGGUCUGAUGUAAUAAAGUACACGUGGCCAGAAAAUGCAGGCGGGUUCCCUGAUGGCAGUAGCCUGAUCAUCACUAGAGUGACAAGGAAACAUCAUGGAAGCCGAGUGAGGUGUGAAGCGAUGUCCAGUGAUGGUGAAGUUGUCUCCAGUGACACACUGCAAUUACAGGUUUACUAUCGCCCGGUUAUCAGGAUAACACGGAGUGACAAUCAGGGUCAGCCACUGUCCACC